AUCUCUUCUUGGCCUUUUGGCUAAGAUCAAGUGUAAUGUUUCAUUUCCAAAUAAUGAGGCCUUUUUAGAUAUUGUAUGCUCUCUUAUUUCUGAUUCACUCUAUUAUAAUAAGAGAACAUACU
rnacentral:snRNA from 1 species